rnacentral:misc_RNA from 1 species
GCAGAAUAUUGGGUUUGUUGGUGGGUUCGGAGUUGUUUUACGCAGUAUUGCAGAAUGAGCUUGGAGACUGAUGGUGGGAGCUCCACAGAUUGUGCCUCGGAAACUCAGAAGCAUUCAAGAAAAUCAUAUUCAAGAGAGGUUCUGUUGUCAAUAAGUCAAUUGGAGAUAUGCAAGAAAUUACCUAGUGGAUUUAAUGAGCCGACCCUGAGUAAACUUGAAGACAGUUCACAUGGUAUACAAGACCGCCAACGAGUACCUGGCAGCUUACCUUUGCAAGGGUUUAGACGCACCGACUAUAGUUCAUCCCCACCUACUCGUGGGGAUUCCAGUAGUUAUUCCCGAGGCAAU